GCAGAGAGGGAGAACUGCGCAGCGCCCCUUCAGCGAAGCGGAAGGAGGAACAGAGCCCCUUCUGUUCCUCCUCCCACUUCGCUGAAGGGGCACUGCGCAGCUCUCCAUCUCUGC